UACGUAGGGACCGAGCGUUGUCCGGAAUCAUUGGGCGUAAAGAGCGUGUAGGCGGCCUUUUAAGUCCUGAGUGAAAUCCUGCGGCUCAACCGCAGACGGUCGUGGGAAACUGGAAGGCUAGAGUGCGGGAGAGGAGAGUGGAAUUCCCGGUGUAGCGGUGAAAUGCGCAGAUAUCGGGAAGAACACCCGUGGCGAAGGCGGCUCUCUGGAACGCAACUGACGCUGAGACGCGAAAGCGUGGGGAGCAAACAGG
rnacentral:rRNA from 1 species